CUGUCAUAUGGUGAUAAUGGU
rnacentral:piRNA from 1 species